CUUUUCGAGUAUAAUUUAAAGUCUGGCCUGCCCAAUGAGUAGUUAAAUGGCCGCGGUAUUUUGACCGUGCAAAGGUAGCAUAAUCAUUAGUUUUUUAAUUGAAAGCUGGAAUGAAAGGUUGGAUGAGAAAAUAGCUGUCUCUAUCUAAAUUAAUUAGAAUUUUAUUUUUAAGUAAAAAAGCUUAAAUAUAAUUAGAAGACGAGAAGACCCUAUAGAGUUUUAUUUAUUUAUUUAAAAAAAUUUUAGUAUUAAGAUUUUUUUUUUGAAUAUAAAUUAAUUGGGGCGAUUGAAAAAUUGAAUUAACUUUUUUUUAUUUUAACCAUUAAUUUAUGUGUAAUUGAUCCUUUUUUAAAGAUUAGAAGAUUAAAUUACCUUAGGGAUAACAGCGUAAUUUUCUUAAAGAGUUCAAAUCGAAANVAAAGAUUGCGACCUCGAUGUUGGAUUAAAAUAAAAUUUUGGUGUAGAAGCUAAA
rnacentral:rRNA from 1 species